UAAAACACACUUCCCUCUCCCCCUGAAUCCAGUGCACAGACAUUACUAACUAACCCUAACUCAUCAGAACCUCAUAAUUUGCCCAUACUCUGAACAUCUUAAAAUUGUUCUGCAGGUCAGUAAUAUCAAGUAGGUGUCGAAGUAUUUCAUCAAUAUGUUUGAUGUUGGUGUCUUCAACAGCUGGUACCAUCUAGAGAAUAAGUCCUUACUUGAGCUGAACACCAUACAGUUUCUCCUGUUGCUUUAAACUUGCUGUUGGGAGAAAAGCUCAUGUUACACACAUAUGACAUUUUAUCUAUCACGUCCAUUAUGUGGAAUCUUUCCAGGGCUGAUAGCUUGGGACUCCCUCUCUCCUGAUAAACAGGAAGUCAGUGGAAAAGUGGGAGGAAGUGUAACACUCAGAUGCUGCUAUGAUACAGGUCUGCUGGGUAUUGGAGAGCCUUGGAGAGAUGAGAUGAUGGGAGGAGCCAGCCACAAAAGGACUGUUGAGUAAAAUGUGUUUAUGUUUCUCUCUCCUGCUUAACUGGAACUCGCUCUGCUCUCCACUGCCUCACUCCAUCAUGCUCUUUGCACUCGUGAUAUGUUUCAUUUUAUGUGGUCCAAGUGUUGAAGACAGUAUCAGUCAGCAGAAGGAUGUCCAACGUGCUGUUGAGGGUGCUGCUGUGGUGCUCUCAUGCAGCUACAACAGCUCUGUAGUCAGUAGUCUCUUAUGGUACCGCCAGUACCCCGGCUCACCA